rnacentral:rRNA from 1 species
GACGAACGCUGGCGGCGUGCUUAACACAUGCUAGUCGAACGCUGAAGCCCUUUCGGGGGUGGAUGAGUGGCGAACGGGUGAGUAACACGUGGGUAAUCUGCCCUGUACUUCGGGAUAAGCCUUGGAAACGGGGUCUAAUACCGGAUAGGACCUGUCCUCGCAUGGGGGUGGGUGGAAAGUUCCGGCGGUAUGGGAUGAGCCCGCGGCCUAUCAGCUUGUUGGUGGGGUAGUGGCCUACCAAGGCGACGACGGGUAGCCGGCCUGAGAGGGUGACCGGUACCGCUGGGACGGCGACACGGCCCAGACUACUACGGGGGGCAGCAGUUGGGAAUCUUGCGCGAUGGGCGAAAGCCUGACGCAGCAACGCCGCGUGGGGGAUGACGGCCUUCGGGUUGUAAACCUCUUUCGACAUCGACGAAGGGGCCCUGUUGUGGGGUUUUGACGGUAGGUGUAGAAGAAGCACCGGCUAACUACGUGCCAGCCGCCGCCGUAA